UACGUAGGGUGCGAGCGUUAAUCGGAAUUACUGGGCGUAAAGCGUGCGCAGGCGGUUCUCCAAGUCCGUUGUGAAAGCCCCGGGCUCAACCUGGGAAUGGCAGUGGAAACUAGGGGACUGGAAUCUGGCAGAGGGGGGUGGAAUGCCGCGUGUAGCAGUGAAAUGCGUAGAGAUGCGGCGGAACACCGAUGGCGAAGGCAGCCCCCUGGGCUGAGAUUGACGCUCAGGCACGAAAGCGUGGGGAGCAAACAGGA
rnacentral:rRNA from 1 species